AAUCGAAAACGCUAAAAAUGACAUAACUGCAUAUGCAUAGCAUAAGACCGUCUCGACCAAUGAACAUCUAGCAUAAAGGCGCCAUAUUGAUUUACAUAGCAUGCUCAUUGGUCGAGACGGUCUUCUGCUAUGCAUAUGCAGUUAUUGACCGUAUGGCGGGACGUUUUGACAUGAGGAGGUUAGGUGACUACAAAUAAGCGGGGUAACGGUGCCUUGUUUAACUCGUAUAAGACACCGUACCGACGCCGUAUUGCCGCACAUGCGAAUACAACCGGUCCCAUAUUGGAAUACUGAGGUCCAUGCUCUGCUCCAUAUAUUCUUACAUUCAUGGCCAAGACUCAAACCAUUUAAAUCAAGAUUCGAACCAUUUUUAGUUAAGACGCAAACCAUUUAGUUUGCAUCUUAAACCUGGCGUCACUGUGUAAAUCGUGUAAACACCGCCAAGAAGUUUGUGUCUACAAUCAUCUACAAUUGCAUAACUGUUACAUUUUUGUGAAUAUAUUUAAUAUUGUAGAAAACGUGUUCGUCUACAGAAUAUAACCUGGAGAUUACUGUUAUCUACAGUUAUAUUAGUGAUAUUUGUUAAAGUUUAUAACACAGCUCAAAUAGUAUUAAAAUAUUCAAGUUUUA